rnacentral:rRNA from 1 species
CCUACGGGUGGCAGCAGUGGGGAAUAUUGCACAAUGGGCGCAAGCCUGAUGCAGCCAUGCCGCGUGUGUGAAGAAGGCCUUCGGGUUGUAAAGCACUUUCAGCGGGGAGGAAGGCGUUAAGGUUAAUAACCUUGGCGAUUGACGUUACCCGCAGAAGAAGCACCGGCUAACUCCGUGCCAGCAGCCGCGGUAAUACGGAGGGUGCAAGCGUUAAUCGGAAUUACUGGGCGUAAAGCGCACGCAGGCGGUCUGUCAAGUCGGAUGUGAAAUCCCCGGGCUCAACCUGGGAACUGCAUUCGAAACUGGCAGGCUAGAGUCUUGUAGAGGGGGGUAGAAUUCCAGGUGUAGCGGUGAAAUGCGUAGAGAUCUGGAGGAAUACCGGUGGCGAAGGCGGCCCCCUGGACAAAGACUGACGCUCGGGUGCGAAAGCGUGGGGAGCAAACAGGAUUAGAUACCCCUGUAGUC